UCGAGGUCGGCUGGAAGGUCG
rnacentral:misc_RNA from 1 species